rnacentral:rRNA from 1 species
GUCUCCAACCACACCACCCUAAACAUGCAUGUUCUCACCUGAUAUCUGAAACUGAGCAGGGCUGGGCUUGGAUAGUACUUGGAUGAGAAAAAAGUAACUUGAUGAUGCAAUUA